rnacentral:rRNA from 1 species
UGCCAGACUCCUACGGGAGGCAGCAGUGAGGAAUAUUGGUCAAUGGCCGAGAGGCUGAACCAGCCAAGUCGCGUGAGGGAAGACGGCCCUACGGGUUGUAAACCUCUUUUGUCGGGGAGCAAAGCGAGUCACGUGUGACUCAUUGAGAGUACCCGAAGAAAAAGCAUCGGCUAACUCCGUGCCAGCAGCCGCGGUAAUACGGAGGAUGCGAGCGUUAUCCGGAUUUAUUGGGUUUAAAGGGUGCGUAGGCGGAACAUUAAGUCAGCGGUAAAAUCGAGGGGCUCAACCCCUUUAAGCCGUUGAAACUGGUGAUCUUGAGUGGGCGAGAAGUAUGUGGAAUGCGUGGUGUAGCGGUGAAAUGCAUAGAUAUCACGCAGAACUCCGAUUGCGAAGGCAGCAUACCGGCGCCCGACUGACGCUGAGGCACGAAAGCGUGGGGAUCGAACAGGAUUAGAUACCCGUGUA